UAACGCGUGGGUAACCUGCCUCAUACAGGGGGAUAACAGUUAGAAAUGACUGCUAAUACCGCAUAAGCGCACAGUGCUGCAUGGCACAGUGUGAAAAACUCCGGUGGUAUGAGAUGGACUCGCGUCUGAUUAGCUAGUUGGUGGGGUAACGGCCUACCAAGGCGACGAUCAGUAGCCGCCUGAGAGGGUGAACGGCCACAUUGGGACUGAGACACGGCCCAA
rnacentral:rRNA from 1 species